rnacentral:snRNA from 1 species
AGCACGGCGCCGUAGCAGUAUUGUAGCAAAUGAGGUUUAUCCGAGGCAUGAUUAUUGCUAAUUGAAAACUUUUCCCAAUACCCCACCAUGAUGACUUGAAAUAUAGUUGGCAUUGGCAAUUUUUGACAGUCUCUAUGGAGA